AGUGAACGCUGGCGGUAGGCCUAACACAUGCAAGUCGAACGGCAGCACAGUAAGAGCUUGCUCUUACGGGUGGCGAGUGGCGGACGGGUGAGGAAUACAUCGGAAUCUACUUUUUCGUGGGGGAUAACGUAGGGAAACUUACGCUAAUACCGCAUACGACCUACGGGUGAAAGCAGGGGAUCUUCGGACCUUGCGCGAUUGAAUGAGCCGAUGUCGGAUUAGCUAGUUGGCGGGGUAAAGGCCCACCAAGGCGACGAUCCGUAGCUGGUCUGAGAGGAUGAUCAGCCACACUGGAACUGAGACACGGUCCAGACUCCUACGGGAGGCAGCAGUGGGGAAUAUUGGACAAUGGGCGCAAGCCUGAUCCAGCCAUACCGCGUGGGUGAAGAAGGCCUUCGGGUGGUAAAGCCCUUUUGUUGGGAAAGAAAAGCAGCAGGUUAAUACCCCGCUGUUCUGACGGUACCCAAAGAAUAAGCACCGGCUAACUUCGUG
rnacentral:rRNA from 1 species